rnacentral:lncRNA from 1 species
GGUAGUCAAAGGCCUUGAAGGUGUAAAUAGCAUUAAUGAGCAUCCUAACUUGGCCAAAGAGGAUGAUGGCGUAGGAGCAAUGUCGAUUGAAGGAAAGGUAAAGGCAAGAGGAAAGAAUCAUUGAGAUACUAGUGGAGGGCAACAAACAAGUUGGAGGCUCCAAUGGAGAGGGUAAUUUCAUUGAGUGGGAGGUGGGGGAGAACAUGGUAGUAUGAUAGAACUUGAUGAUGUAGGUACCACUA